rfam:Picea glauca, whole genome shotgun sequence.
AUGUACAAUCCUACAACGUUAAUGCAUUGUAUCAUGUCAUAAUUAUAUAGUUAAGUGUGCUUGGGAUAGAGUAGUAAUGGUAUGGGUGACCUCCCAAGAAGUCCUAGUGUUUUUCAUG